GAUGAAGAACGCAGCGAAAUGCGAUAAGUAAUGUGAAUUGCAGAAUUCAGUGAAUCAUCGAAUCUUUGAACGCACAUUGCGCCCCUUGGCAUUCCAUGGGGCAUGCCUGUUCGAGCGUCAUUUGUACCUUCAAGCUUUGCUUGGUGUUGGGUGUUUGUCUCGCCUUUGCGUGUAGACUCGCCUUAAAAUAAUUGGCAGCCGGCGUAUUGAUUUCGGAGCGCAGUACAUCUCGCGCUUUGCACUCAUAACGACAGCGUCCAAAAGUACAUUUUACACUCUUGACCUCGGAUCAGGUAGGGAUACCCGCUGAACUUAAGCAUAUCAAUAAGCGGAGGA
rnacentral:misc_RNA from 1 species